GAUCGUAGUUCUGUUGUCAGGAAACAUGCGUGCGAAUAGCGGCACCUUGACGGUACCUGACGAGGAAGCCCCGGCUCUACGUGCCACAGCCGCGGUAAUACGUAGGGGCAGCGUUGUCCGGAAUUAUUGGGCGUAAAGCGCGCGCAGCGGUUCCUUAAGUCUGAUGUGAACCCACGGCUCAACCGUGGAGGGUCAUUGGAAACUGGGGAACUUGAGUGCAGAAGAGGAGAGUGGAAUUCCACGUGUAGCGGUGAAAUGCGUAGAUAUGUGGAGGAACACCAGUGGCGAAGGCGACUCUCUGGUCUGUAACUGACGCUGAGGCGCGAAAGCGUGGGGAGCAAACAGGAUUAGAUACCCUGGUAGUCCACGCCGUAAAACGAAUGAAGUGCUAGGUGUUAGGGGGCUUCCACCCCUUAGUGCUGAAGUUAACGCAUUAAGCACUCCGCCUGGGGAGUACGGCCGCAAGGCUGAAACUCAAAGGAAUUGACGGGGG
rnacentral:rRNA from 1 species